AGUCAAGGGGAUUAUAACACCCCACGGCGCAAGGAAAGUGAUUUUGCUUCAUGCGGGCUGAUCCGUUACUUUUUCGAAUGUAGCGGCGCAAGCCCAGGGCUCGCUCUUGGUGGCGAGUACCUGGAGCACGCAUGAUAGGACCCGAAAGAUGGUGAUCUAUGCCUGGCGAGGACGAAGCCAGAGGAAACUUUGGUGGAAGUCCGUAGCGUUUCUGACGUGCAAAUCGAUCGCAGGAGCUUGGUAUAGGGGCGAAAGACCAAUCGAACCAUC
rnacentral:rRNA from 1 species